rnacentral:rRNA from 1 species
ACGGAGGGUGCGAGCGUUGUCCGGAAUCAUUGGGCGUAAAGGGCGCGUAGGCGGUUUGCACAGUCAGACGUGAAAUUCCUGGGCUUAACCUGGGGGCUGCGUUUGAUACGUGCAGGCUUGAGUUCGGAAGAGGGUCGUGGAAUUCCCAGUGUAGAGGUGAAAUUCGUAGAUAUUGGGAAGAACACCGGUGGCGAAGGCGGCGACCUGGUCCGAUACUGACGCUGAGGCGCGAAAGCGUGGGGAGCAAACAGGA